AUCUGUGCUUUCCAAUGGUC
rnacentral:piRNA from 1 species